rnacentral:lncRNA from 1 species
CUUCGCGGCUGGGCGGCGGCGGGGCACGGCGGGGCAGCGGCCGCCCUGCCCUCGCCAGCAAGAGCUCACACGGCCAGGGAGAGCAGCCCCCGAGGGGCAGGCAGGGUCCCCGGAGCGCGGUGCCAGCCCUUACCUUGCUCCGCACCCCGCUCCGCACGCCCGGCGGCAGCAGCGCCGCGGGGCCGGGGCACGGGAUGCUGCGAGGCUCCCAGCGCCUCUCCCUCCGCCUCUCUCCCGAUCCUCAGAAAAGCCCUUCCCCCCCUCGGCCCCCCCGCCCGCCUCACUCUCUCUAGCUUUGGGGCAUUGAUAUUAUAUAUAUAUAUUUUCAUUUUUUUUCAGAAGCCAAGGGGAAGCUUGGUUGGGAGAAGCAAAGCCCUGACGCGCUUGGGGGUGGGUAGGUGGGGGGUGCGCCUGGGGGGGUUUCAGACCCUCGCACGGCAACACAGGCGGACCCAUCCCCCCCGUCUCCUCGGUCCCCAGCCGGGGGAGGCGGUCGAACCUCACCGCCUUCCACCGAUCCCGCACCGGGAACGGGCCCUGCGCGCGAUCCUCCCGCCCGGGGCAGCCUCCCGGAACCCAGCCCCGACCCCAUCCUUUCGGGGGCAGCGGGGCGGGGGCUCCCCUCCAAAUACAUACCCUGCCCGCCGGGGCUGCUUUGAGGACGCAGGAUUUUGUGCGAGCGAUCGUCUCCUUCUCCGGGAGCUCAGCCUCCCCUCCCCCCCGCCUCCCCUCCCCCGCCUCCCCCACCUCCUUUGGGGGGCCAGGAAUCCCCCACUGCCGGCCCUGCCUCCUCCCCGCCCGGCCGGAGCGGUGAUGCGCCGGGGCCGCGGCGCUGCAUGGCCCCGGUGCUCCGUGCCCGCGGCCGGGCUGCGCUGCGGCGGAGCGCGGGCUGUCCCCUCCCGCCGCGGGCGCGGGUCAGCGGGGGCGGCGCGGGGCCGCCUCCGGCGGGAGGGGAGGCUGCGUCCUCCGGCCCCGCCGAGGGGCUGCGUGGCCCGGGGCACAGCCGAGGCAGCAUCCUUGGGUAGCCUGUGUGUGCAGUCGGGAGGCAGGAACUCCGCGCCGGCUUUUCGCGGGGGGGUCCCGGUCGUCCCCAUCCUUCCCGCAGCGGUCAGGGGGAAGUUUCGCUGCGGGACUCCGGGGGGUUUCUCCGGCCAUCUCCCCGGGGCUAAGGGAGCAGCCGCCCGUCCCUUCGGCAGCGCAGGUGGUGGUGGGCGAGAAGGGCACGGGGGCGUCGUGGGGGACUCCGGAGGUCCGGUCCUGGCGGGGCACAAGGGGACACGGAGGUGGCCAAGGGAAGGUCCCUUCCCUGACAGCGCCUGGUGUAUUUCUCAGAGGCACCGAGCACGCACAGCUUCCCUCUGCUUCAAAAUCAGGCCAUCGUCGAAUCAUAAAUAUAUAAUAUUACACUCCUAUGAUAUUAUGAGUAGAGAGCAGGAGAGUUAA